GAUCCUAUGCUGCCGAGAAAAGCCUCUAGUGAGUGUUGUGGCGGCCCGUACCCUAAACCGACUCAGGUGGUCAGGUAGAGAAUACCAAGGCGAUCGGGUGAACUGUGGUUAAGGAACUCGGCAAAUUGCCCCCGUAACUUCGGGAGAAGGGGGACCUCUGCUGGUGAUGGGCUUUACAUUCUGAGCUGGUGGGGGUCGCAGUGGCCAGGGGGAAGCGACUGUUUACUAAAAACACAGGUCCGUGCGAAGUCGUAAGACGAUGUAUACGGACUGACGCCUGCCCGGUGCCGGAACGUUAAGGGGACCGCUUAGCCAGCUUCGGUUGGCGAAGGUGAGAACUUAAGCGCCGGUAAACGGCGGUGGUAACUAUAACCAUCCUAAGGUAGCGAAAUUCCUUGUCGGGUAAGUUCCGACCUGCACGAAUGGCGUAACGACUUCCCCGCUGUCUCAACCACAGACCCGGCGAAAUUGCACUACGAGUAAAGAUGCUCGUUUCGCGCAGCAGGACGGAAAGACCCCGGGACCUUCACUACAGCUUGACAUUGGCGUUUGGAACGUCUUGUGUAGGAUAGGUGAGAGACUAGGAAGCUGUCACGCUAGUGAUGGUGGAGUCAUUGGUGAAAUACCACUCUGGUCGUUUUGAACGUCUAACUCUGGUCCGUGAUCCGGAUCGGGGACAGUGUCUGGUGGGUAGCUUAACUGGGGCGGUUGCCUCCUAAAGAGUAACGGAGGCGCCCAAAGGUUCCCUCAGCCUGGUUGGCAAUCAGGUGUUGAGUGUAAGUGCACAAGGGAGCUUGACUGUGAGACUGACAGGUCGAGCAGGAGCGAAAGCUGGGACUAGUGAUCCGGCAUCGGCGUGUGGAAGCGGUGUCGCUCAACGGCUAAAAGGUACCCCGGGGAUAACAGGCUGAUCUUCCCCAAGAGUCCAUAUCGACGGGAUGGUUUGGCACCUCGAUGUCGGCUCGUCGCAUCCUGGGGCUGGAGUAAGUCCCAAGGGUUGGGCUGUUCGCCCAUUAAAGCGGUACGCGAGCUGGGUUUAGAACGUCGCGAGACAGUUCGGUCCCUAUCCGCUGCGCGCGCAGGAGACUUGAAGGGGGCUGUCCCUAGUACGAGAGGACCGGGACGGACGAACCUCUGGUGUGCCAGUUGUACCGCCAGGUGCACGGCUGGUUGGCUACGUUCGGAAGGGAUAACCGCUGAAAGCAUCUAAGCGGGAAGCUCGCCUUGAGAUGAGGUCUCCCACCCCGUGAGGGGGUAAGGCUCCCGGUAGAUCACCGGGUUGAUAGGCCGGAGGUGGAAGCACGGUAACGUGUGGAGCUGACCGGUACUAAUAGGCCGAGGACUUGAUC
rnacentral:rRNA from 1 species